AUGUGUACUCUGUUUACAUUACAGUUGUUUAUUAGUUUACUCGUUUGUUUUGCGACUGGUGAAAUGCCGGCAUAUAUAUAUUUUCAACAUUUGACAUAACCCUGUAUGUUUUGCAGGGACAACCCAGGACGUGCAUUUCUCAGCACCCAGUCAACUGCCAAAAGUGACUCAAACACAGGCCACCAGUGGAACUCGGCUGUACCACUGCAGUGCUGCAGAAAUUGCCUUCACCAGCGGCUUUGCAACAGCUGUUUCGCAGCAUGUCGGAGACAAUGCCUACGAAAUUAUUGGCCCUGAUCAUGAGAGCCCUCAAGGGGCAAACAUCUCUGUUGCAGAAGUGAACCCGAUACCACUUGGAAGUUACCAUGACAGAUGACACGGCAGCAAUAGAUACAGAGACUGCCAUGUCUACUGCAGCUGCAACAGUGUACGAGGCAAGCAGCAGCGCGUCAGCAUCAGCAGCAGUGUCAGAAGGAACCACACCAGGCCUGGUAGAGCAACAUGUGUGCUAUCACUGACUUUUUUUGUAGUGGAUACAACUCAUUUGCUCAACAUACAAAAGCUUUUCACCACGACUGUGAGCCAGUGUUAUUGUGCAGCAAGUGCAAGACUAAGUUAGGUGUUAUAACACAGUACAAGCAUCACUUUAAUAUAUGCAAAUGCAAACAUAUUACAGUUGUUGCCUCCCCAGCCAGCCCACAUAGUGACAACAAUGUGGACCACAUGGUGGGACACACCUCUCCCCCAUUACAAGAUAGUAGAGACUGUCAGUGUUGUUGCUAGAUUGACUGGUCUUUGUAGGCAACUAGAAGGACAACACAGGUGUCAUAAGAUUGUUGUUGAUGUUGUUGUUGAAGAGGUAAAAAAGAAGUUUGAUGCAGCUGAAGUGCCAACUGAUAUUGAGCAAAUCAAAAGCAACCACCUGAGAAAACAAGACUAUCGAAAUUUCGGUAUUUAUGUGCCGCCAACUCUGGUAAGAAUGGCAUAGGACAGAAGUGUGAUGAAAAUCACACAGACACUGCUGUUGCAUCACUGGCCACAGUGAGCAGCGACUUGUAGGGCAAGAGAGUCAACUGAAACUAACAUUAUGAUAUAGUGUCAUGCUCCCAUGUGACCACUUUUCAAGUUAUUUUGCAAGAUACAGCUCAACCUCCAGAAACGAGACUGCAACUUGUCUGUAAAAAAGCUUUCACAAAAAAUUAUUCAUAACACUAUUAACAUAGCAGUAUCUUUUUUUUUUGUGUCGGUUCGAGGUUCCCGGCUGUCCAUUAAUGCAAAAAUUGAGGAAAAAAAAGAACAUGUGUCGUACUUACACCUUUUUAACAAGUACGAGGGGGACAGAACUUUUCUAGUCAUGCAUCUUCAUCAUACUAUCAAGUUUUUAAAUGCCUUUUAUAAUUAUUAUUACCAGUUAUAUCUGAGUGCAUUGUAUGCAUGUAGCAGGUGUAAAAUCAGGUCAGUUGGAUCAGAUGCCUUAUCUGCAAGCGAGCCCUAUAUUCAAGAAAUUUGAAUUAAAAUAGUUACGUUAGA
rnacentral:lncRNA from 1 species